CCAGUUGCUGUUCAGUGAAGUGAUUAUUUAAAGCGUUCGGAAUGUAAUUCUCAUUUUCAACUUGCUGAAGUCAAAACGCGGAGAGUAAGCAGAUUGUCAAUUUUAUCAUCAUUUCAAGACUGUAAAAUGUGGACUGUCAUCAAGAAGAAAGAUUUUGAUGAGUUUGACGCCAUCCCCCAAUCAUGGGUACUGCCAAACCACAAGGAGGCCAUGUAUCCAAUCUUGCAACCUUCUGCGAUAAGGAAAAUGGCAGAAAGAGGAGAACGAAUCGGCAAACAUGCAUACGAACUAAUUCAAAUAAUCAAGUACAAGGAUUACGACUCAUAUGAAACAGCCUAUGACAACGCCAUACGUUAUACAUCAGGGAAAACCUCCAAAUCUGCUUCUGAGGGAGAGCCCAAAGGAAGAGGGCUGCGAAAGAAAAGAAAAUCCAGAUAUCUUCAAUCUUCGGAUAGCAGUUCAAGCGAAGAAGAGGUCAGAAAGAAAAAGAAAAAGAAAGGAAAGAAACGCAUCCAACCAUCUUCCUCCAGUUCAGAAGAAAAUUCUGAAGGUGAAAUAGUGGUGCAACGAUCCAAAAAGUCAGAUGAAGCUCAGAGACACAUCCAGAGGCACUUGGAGGAAACUGAAGAUCUUUCGCUCCCUACCAUUCCUGUGUAUAAUCCAAAAUCUGCUCAAAGUUGUGACAACUUCAUGGUAGUCACACCGGGUGCGCCUGCCAACGCGGACAGUCCCCGAAAAUCGCCAAAACCAUGUUCAAAGAUCUCUCAUGAAAAAACUGCUUCUUCCACUACAAGCAAAUGUGUCGAUGCCAACAGGCCCAGCACAUCUAAAAGCCACACAGAGGAAACUGCUUCUCCCCACAAAAGAAGUAUCGACAAUGCAAAGAGACAGCUUUUCAAAGGCAAAACCAGUCACCCUAACGCUAAAUGCAAACAGGGGAAAAAAAUCAAGCAUCCUUGUGGAUUCCGGAUGAGUUGUGAGCCACUGGAAGCAAUCAUGCACACGCAGUGCAUAAUUGGAGCUGAUAUCAAUGAGAUUAAAUACAGGCUUAAGAAGCAGAAUAAAAUGGAGAAAGUCAAACGGAAUGAAAGCGGGGACGAUGAGCCGAAAAUCAAAGAAGUUGAAAUGCCAGAGAAAAUUUUAGACCAAUUACCACUGAAAAAUAAGGUGUCUCUGGACUCAUUUGAAGCACAAAUCAAGACGGAUGAUAAGCUUUUUAAGACGCUGGUUGAUGGAUUUUCGUGGCAUCAUCGCAAUGAUGCGAACAUCACAACGACUGCUAGAGGAGUGCUCAAAAGAAUCUUCGAAGUUUCUGUCCUUUCUUCAUACUCUCUAAAGGCGGCUCCAAUAAUAAGGGAGAAAAAAGUUGCCAUUCAUCGAGCUGAAAAGCUAUUCAUUAAUUAUAGAUGUUGUCAAGGCUCUUUGGAAACACAUCUUUCCCUCUUACAAAGAAGAGGCUGACAAAACAUUGGGACCAUACCUAAUCUCAUGCAAAACCCCUACAGCAUGAAUCUCAGUUGGACUCCUUCUUGGCCUUAAGUUUCACUUAUACUCUCAGGUUUUUUUUUACAUUUUUAUAAUUUAAAACUCUCGUUGAAGAAAAGACUGAUGAUUGAUUUUUUUCUUUAAAUUAUUUCGUGUAAGAAUUUGUUCCUCGUCCAAUAAGUUCUCAUUAUUAUCCAUUAGUUACAUUUCUUUGCCUUUAUCGAAAGAAAAGACUUAUGAUUGAUUUUUUUCUUUAAAUUAGUUCGUGUAAGAAUUUGUUCCUCGUCCAAUAAGUUCUCAUUAUUAUCCAUUAGUUACAUUUCUUUGCCUUUAUCGAAAGAAAAGACUAAUGAUUGAUUUUUUCUUUAAAUUAUUUCGUGUAAGAUUUGUUCUCGUCCAAGAAGUUCUCAUUAUUAUCCAUUAGUUACAUUUCUUUGCCUUUAUCGAAAGAAAAGACUAAUGAUUGAUUUUUUUCUUUAAAUUAGUUCGUCUAAGAAUUUGUUUCUCGUCCAAUAACUUCUCAUUAUUAUCCAUCAGUUACAUUUCUUUGCCGUUAUCGAAAGAAAAGACUAAUGAUUGAUUUUUUUCUUUAAAUUAGUUCGUGUAAGAAUUUGUUUCUCGUCCAAUAAGUUCUCAUUAUUAUCCAUUAGUUACAUUUCUUUGCCUUUAUCUUGAUCAAAGUGUGCUCAAAAGUUUCUUCACAUGCAAUUAUUGUACCCCUACUUACCUCAUUUUUGGAGAAUCAGUCCUUGAAGCUCCUAAAAAACCAGGCUAUUACAAUUCUGAAGCGUUGUCAUCAUAAUUUUGCCAGUUCAGCAAGCGGCACUUUUUGCCAGAUUUUUGACAUUUGUAGGCAACUUUCGGGCCACUAUCAGGAAAGGUGAAAUAGAGGUCGAAUAAAUUCUUGUGAUACAACUUGGGUCCCGACUCAGAUCAAAAUGUAGCGGGAUUCCAUGUGAUCUUGCCUUCUAAGUCAAAUUCAUGUUAUUCGUUCCAGUAUUGGAUCGUAUUUUGUAUUGUGUUACCCAAUUAUUGUGUUUCUUUACCUUUUGUCAAUGUUCGUUAGUAUGUAAGCUCCAUCAUUCCAUGUGACCUUACGAAUUCUCAUUUUGUACCUGACAUGGAUCCUUUGAUGAGAUUUUCAUCUGUAUAACCUUACUAAGGCUCUUUCCCUAAACCUUUCAAGGGUAGUUUGCUACAGUGCAUGCAGACUAAUCGCAGGAGUUAUUGGUUCAAAUCUUUUUUUCUCCAACAUUUUACAGUGUUGUCAUAUUUCAAUCAAAAAUUGCUACUCUUUGCUUCUUUUUUUUUUUUAAACAUUAACAGUUUCAGGUUUAUUUUUAUAUUACAUUGACAUGAAAGAGGUCAGAAUUGCUUCUUGCAGUGAAAAUAAAUACUGAAUAUCUAGCACAUAGUGCAGUAUUCCGUUAUUUGAAUUUAUGCUGUAAUUUGGAUGAGUUACACUAAAUUAUUAACUUUUAUUGGCCCCAAAGUUGUUCCUAAAAAAAAUGCAACACAGUAUUUCCCAGUUUAAUAUUUCAAAAACCAUGCCACACUAGAAAUAUGUGCCUUCUGACCUCUGUGCACAAACAAAGAAGUCUUUAGUUACUUUCUUAAAAGUCUUAAUUUUUAUAAAGUAACCCCUUAGAAAUACCUACUACAUUUUAUUGUAAAUACUGUUUUGAGAUUUCUGGUCGUGCCAUUAAUUUUGGCACAAAAUAUCUUGUGAUUUAAUGAAGUUCAUAAAGGUGCUCGUACUUGAAAUUUAAGUAGGAAGUUACGCACUGAACCUAGCAUUUAAGAUUAAGCGAAUUAGAUGCUUUUAGUCAAUUGUUCUUCAUACAUCUUUACAUGCAGUUGUCAGAUUUUAUAAAUUUAUGUUAUACAUUUUUUUUUACUUUUAUGUAUGGACUGAAACAGUGCAUUGUUCUAUUUUUUCCAAUAAAAAAUUAAUUAAAUGAGAUAGAACAUUUUUUCUCUUCAGAUUUUCCUGAAAGUUU
rnacentral:lncRNA from 1 species